rnacentral:rRNA from 1 species
UGGGGAAUAUUGGACAAUGGGCGAAAGCCUGAUCCAGCCAUGCCGCGUGUGUGAAGAAGGUCUUCGGAUUGUAAAGCACUUUAAGUUGGGAGGAAGGGCAGUAAGCGAAUACCUUGCUGUUUUGACUUUACCACCAGAAUAGGCACGGCCUACCUCUGUGCCAGCAGCCGCGGUAAUACAGAGGGUGCAAGCGUUAAUCGGAAUUACUGGGCGUAAAGCGCGCGUAGGUGGUUCGUUAAGUUGAAUGUGAAAGCCCCGGGCUCAACCUGGGAACUGCAUCCAAAACUGGCGAGCUAGAGUAGGGCAGAGGGUGGUGGAAUUUCCUGUGUAGCGGUGAAAUGCGUAGAUAUAGGAAGGAACACCAGUGGCGAAGGCGACCACCUGGGCUCAUACUGACACUGAGGUGCGAAAGCGUGGGGAGCAAACAGG